GUGGGAGGGGAAGCUGGAUGGUUGGAUCAUGAAGGACUUUGCACACAAGUUAAGCAGUUCGACUUUAUUCUGCAGGAAGUGGGGGCUGCUAAAGAGCUGACAGAUUCUGAAUCUACCUUGCAGUGUGACCUUGGCCAAGGGCCAGGCGAGUUCAGGCACGUUCCUGGUAGAAGGUGCUCUGAUGCUGCGGAAGACAGUUUCUUCAUGGAUUCCAACUGCUUGAUUUGUGGGAAUGACUCCACCAUGCCUGUUCUCCCCACCUUUGGAUCUCACCUUCAGCUCUGGGAAGAAAGCCCAUUAAGCAACCACGAGGCAGUAAAGAAGGCAGGAAGAGACAGGAAUGGUCAGAGUAUAUUGAAAAACCUUCCUCAGUCAGUCUCCCAAAUGUGCGGUAUAUGCUGGAAUCACCCGGGGUCAUCUGUACGGAUGCCGCCUCAAAGACCACAGGAUCUCAGCAGUCAAGAUUGAAGGGCAGGGGCGAAAUGCUGCAAACUGCACCAGGAAAGGGGAGGAUUAGAGGAGACUGAACGGCUUCCCUAAACCCUUGCUGCUCUAUGCAGAGAUGAUGUCACCAGGAGCUCUACAAGACAAAGAAAUGCUUUAGGUAUGCAAUUUGCUAAUGUCUUGAUACAGCUGCUUAUUUAAAAUCAUCCUUGGGGCCGAGUAUGGUGGCUCACACCUAUAAUCCCAGCACUUUGGUAGGCCGAAGUGGGUGGAUCACCCGAGGUCAGGACUUUGAGACCAGCCUGGCCAACAUGGUGAAACCCUGUCUCUACUAAAAAUACAAACAAACAAACAAACAAAUCACUGGGUGUGGUUGUGCACCCCUGUAAUCCCAGUUAUUUGGGAGGCUGAAGCAGGAGAAUUGCUUGAACCUGGGAGGCAGAGGCUGCAGUGAGCUGAGAUCAUGCCACUGUACUCCAGCCGGGGCAACAGAGCAAGACUCCAUCUCAAAAAAAAAAAAAAAAAAUUUCUCCUUUAAUAGAGUCCACUGUCUGUUUGUGUAGGGUCCUGAAGCUAAAAAUCAUGUUUCCUUUUUUAAAUGAUUAUGGAGGGAGAAGAAAAGAAGGAUGAUAUUUUGUGACAUGUAAAAAUGAUAUGAAAUUCAAAUUUCAAUGUCCAUAAAUACUUAGUGGAAUACAGAUCACGCCCAUUUGUUUACGUGUUGUUCACAGCUGCUUUCCACGGUAACUGCAGAGUAGCUGGGAAAGAGCCCACGUGACACCCUCAGCGCUGUUCUCUGCUGCCUGCACAUGAUAAAUCGCAGCGAUGCUGCUGUAAACCGACAGCCUCUGGAGUGCUACCCGCCCAUGCUGUCCUAGAACAUUUCAUUUUAUUUUGUAUUACCAGCUUUUCCAAAGACUUUAAACUAUAGAGAACGAAAGAAGAGGUGGUGAGUGAGUCUGAGACAUUCACUUCCAACUCUCGAGGAGAUUUUGCUAAAGACUGUAGCUCUCAGAAUUCCUCAUUUUUUUCCUUUUUCUUCCCUUUUCUUUCUUUUUUUUUUUUUUUUUUGAGAUGGAGUCUCGCUCUGUCACCCAGGCUGGAGUACAGUUGCGCUAUCUCGGCUCACUGCAACCUCUACCUCCCAGGUUCAAGCAAUUCUCUUGCCUCAGCCUCCGGAGUAGCUGGGACUACAGGCACGUGCCAACAUGCCGG
rnacentral:lncRNA from 10 species